rnacentral:rRNA from 1 species
UACAGAGGUCUCAAGCGUUGUUCGGAUUCAUUGGGCGUAAAGGGUGCGUAGGCGGCGCGGUAAGUCGGGUGUGAAAUUUCGAGGCUUAACUUCGAAACUGCAUUCGAUACUGCCGUGCUUGAGGACUGGAGAGGAGACUGGAAUUUACGGUGUAGCGGUGAAAUGCGUAGAUAUCGUAAGGAAGACCGGUGGCGAAGGCGGGUCUCUGGACAGUUCCUGACGCUGAGGCACGAAGGCCAGGGGAGCAAACGGG